GCAUUGCUGAGGAGUUCCACAAUAGGACGAAACGGCCGUCUUAUGC
rnacentral:hammerhead_ribozyme from 1 species